GCUGGCGGCACGCCUAACACAUGCAAGUCGAACGCAGUAGCAAUACUGAGUGGCAAACGGGUGAGUAUAAUGUGGGAAUCUGCCUUUUGGUUUGGAAUAACACGGGGAAACUUGUGCUAAUACCGGAUAAGCCUUCACGGGGAAAGUUUUAACGCCAAAAGAUGAGCCUGCACUUGAUUAGCUAGUUGGUAAGGUAAAAGCUUACCAAGGCUACGAUCAAUAGCUGUUCUUAGAGGAAGACCAGCCACAUUGGGACUGAGACACGGCCCAGACUCCUACGGGAGGCAGCAGUGGGGAAUCUUGCACAAUGGGGGAAACCCUGAUGCAGCGAUGCCGCGUGAGUGAAGAAGGCCUUUGGGUUGUAAAACUCUUUCGUCGGGGAAGAAAAUGACUGUACCCGAAUAAGAAGGUCCGGCUAACUUCGUGCCAGCAGCCGCGGUAAUACGAAGGGACCUAGCGUAGUUCGGAAUUACUGGGCUUAAAGAGCUCGUAGGUGGUUAAAAAAGUUGAUGGUGAAAUCCCAAGGCUCAACCUUGGAACUGCCAUCAAAACUUUUUAGCUAGAGUGUGAUAGAGGUAAGUGGAAUUUCUAGUGUAGAGGUGAAAUUCGUAGAUAUUAGAAAGAACACCAAAUGCGAAGGCAACUUACUGGGUCACUACUGACACUGAGGAGCGAAAGCAUGGGUAGCGAAGAGGAUUAGAUACCCUCGUAGUCCAUGCCGUAAACGAUGUGUGCUAGACGUUGGAAAUAUAUUUUUCAGUGUCGCAGCGAAAGCAUUAAGCACACCGCCUGGGGAGUACGACCGC
rnacentral:rRNA from 1 species